ensembl:lncRNA
GGAGGACUCAUUCUCUUCUGUGACUACGUGGUGAGACUGUAGGUUCAUAUGAAGCAUUAUAACAGGGGAGGACUCAUUCUCUUCUGUGACUACGUGGUGAGACUAUAGGUUCAUAUGAAGCAUUAUAACAGGGGAGGACUCAUUCUCAUCUGUGACUACGUGGUGAGACUGUCGGUUCAUAUGAAGCAUUAUAACAGGGGAGGACUCAUUCUCAUCUGUGACUACGUGGUGAGACUGUAGGUUCAUAUGAAGCAUUAUAACAGGGGAGGACUCAUUCUCUUCUGUGACUACGUGGUGAGACUAUAGGUUCAUAUGAAGCAUUAUAACAGGGGAGGACUCAUUCUCAUCUGUGACUACGUGGUGAGACUGUAGGUUCAUAUGAAGCAUUAUAACAGGGGAGGACUCAUUCUCAUCUGUGACUACGUGGUGAGACUGUAGGUUCAUAUGAAGCAUUAUAACAGGGGAGGACUCAUUCUCUUCUGUGACUACGUGGUGAGACUGUAGGUUCAUAUGAAGCAUUAUAACAGGG